rnacentral:rRNA from 1 species
CGGGGGCGUCAGUAUUCAGCUGUCAGAGGUGAAAUUCUUGGAUUUGCUGAAGACUAACUACUGCGAAAGCAUUCGCCAAGGAUGUUUUCAUUAAUCAGGGAACGAAAGUUAGGGGAUCGAAGACGAUCAGAUACCGUCGUAGUCUUAACCAUAAACUAUGCCGACUAGGGAUCGGACGGGAUUCUAUGAUGACCCGUUCGGCACCUUACGAGAAAUCAAAGUUUUUGGGUUCUGGGGGGAGUAUGGUCGCAAGGCUGAAACUUAAAGAAAUUGACGGAAGGGCACCACAAGGCGUGGAGCCUGCGGCUUAAUUUGACUCAA